rnacentral:rRNA from 1 species
UACGGAGGAUGCAAGCGUUAUCCGGAAUGAUUGGGCGUAAAGCGUCCGCAGGUGGCUGUGUAAGUCUGCUGUCAAAGAGCGAAGCUCAACUUCGUAAAGGCAGUGGAAACUACACGGCUAGAGUGCGUUCGGGGCAGAGGGAAUUCCUGGUGUAGCGGUGAAAUGCGUAGAGAUCAGGAAGAACACCGGUGGCUAAGGCGGCUCUCUAGUACGGUACUGACGCUGAGACGCGAAAGCGUGGGGAGCGAACAGG